rnacentral:tRNA from 1 species
AAAAAUUUAGUUAAAAAAUAACAUUAGUUUGUCAAACUAAAAUUAUCAAAUUGAUAAUUUUUA